UGAUACCCUAUUAUUGAAAUCUUUAUGUUGUUAGUAAAUAAAAUAAUGAAAACAAAAAAUUAUGGCGGUAUUUCAAGCUUUUCAGAGGAAUUUGCUCUUUAAUGGAUAAAACACCUAAAUCUUACUAAAAUUUGUUAAAUCAGUUUGUAUACCACUAUUAAAGUAAUAAUUAACUAUUAUUACUUAAAAAUUAAUUUUAAUAAGAAGUUAAGUCAAGGUGCAGCUAAAAUUUUAGCAUGAAGUGAAUUUCAUUUCUUUUAAGAAAGAAGAAAUGAAAUUCAAUUUAGGAUUUGAAAGUAAAAAUUUAAUAAAAUGAUUUUUUGAAUAAAGCUCUGAAAUAUGUACACAUCGCCCGC
rnacentral:rRNA from 1 species